rnacentral:rRNA from 1 species
CGGAUGAGUGGCGAACGGGUGAGUUAACACGUGGGAAAUCUCCCUAGGAGUGGGGGAUAACAUUCGGAAACGGAUGCUAAUACCGCAUAUCUUUUUGAACCGCAUGGUUCUAAAACGAAAGACGGCUUCGGCUGUCGCUUUUAGAUGAUCCCGCGGCGUAUUAGUUAGUUGGUGGGGUAAAGGCCCACCAAGGCCACGAUGGGUAGCCGGCCUUAGAGGGUGAACGGCCACACUGGAACUGAGACACGGUCCAGACUCCUACGGGAGGCAGCAGUGGGGAAUAUUGCACAAUGGAGGGAACUCUGAUGCAGCGACGCCGCGUGAGUGAUGAAGGUUUUCGGAUCGUAAAGCUCUGUCCUUGGGGAAGAUAAUGACGGUACCCAAGGAGGAAGCCCCGGCUAACUACGUGCCAGCAGCCGCGGUAAUACGUAGGGGGCGAGCGUUAUCCGGAUUUAUUGGGCGUAAAGGGUAUGUAGGCGGCUAUAUAAGUCAGGUGUUAAAUGCAAUGGCUCAACCAUUGAGUGCAUCUGAAACUGUAUAGCUUGAGUACUGGAGAGGAAAGUGGAAUUCCUAGUGUAGCGGUGAAAUGCGUAGAUAUUAGGAGGAACACCAGUGGCGAAGGCGACUUUCUGGACAGAUACUGACGCUGAGAUACGAAAGUGUGGGGAGCAAACAGGAUUAGAUACCCUGGUAGUCCACACUGUAAACGAUGAGUGCUAGGUGUUGGGGGUCGAACCUCAGUGCCGCCGUUAACGCAUUAAG